rnacentral:rRNA from 1 species
GACGAACGCUGGCGGCGUGCUUAACACAUGCAAGUCGAACGGAAAGGCCCUGCCUUUGUGCGGUGCGCGAGGGGCGAACGGGUGAGUAACACGUGAGUAACCAGCCCUUGACCGAGGGAUAACUUCAGGAAACUGGGGCUAAUACCGGAAAGGAGUUCCUGCUGCAUGGUGGGGGUGGGAAAGUUUCGGCGGUUGGGGAUGGAAUCGCGGCUCAUCUGCUUGAUGGUGGGGUAGUGGCUUACCAAGGCUUGGACGGGUGGCCGGCCUGCGAGGGUGACGGGCCACAUUGGGACUGUGAUACGCGCCAGACUCGUGCGGGCUGCGACAGUGGAGAAUAUUGCACAAUGGGCGGAAGCCUGAUGCAGCAACGCCGCGUGCGGGAUGACGGCCUUCGGGUUGUAAACCGCUUACGCCUGUACCGAAGCGUGAGUGACGGUAAUGGGUAAAGAAGCACCGGCUAACUACGUG